CUAGCAAUAACAGCCACACCUUUUAUUCAUUCCCCUCUUCCCUCUCUCGUUCCCUUCCCUGCCUCCAGUGUAACCCUAACCCAGUAACCUUCUCGCGCAGCCGAGCCUCCUCUCUGUCUUUCUCAAACUCUCUGUCUCUCUUGGUCUUGAAUCCCAGGCGACCCGCGACGACGCGACCCUUCUCACUCUCAAUCUCUCACACCUCGCCCUCGCCGUGAGCUUCUUCUUGCCGUUUCGAGCCCCAAAAAUCAAACGCCGCGGCAAACAGGCGCUGAAAAAUGGAUGGGGGGAGUUCCGAUGGUGCUUCGGCGACCUCGAACAAGUGAAGGCGAUGAUCUUGAUCCACUCCGCCUUGUCCGAUGACACGCGUACUGUGGUGGAUUCGGUGGAGUUGGAGCUCACCAACAUGGACCUCAAAUCCAUCUCUUCCAGGUCCUUGCCCGACCCGCAUACCCUCCAAAAGUUCUCUCACCUCCUCGGCCCCAAAGUCCUCCAGUGUGAUUGUUUUUGGGAUUCCGAUUCCGCCCCACAGAAGAAGAGUUGGUCCACUAUUACUUGCAGAUGAAGCUCGAGGGAUACUCCAAGCAUAUAUAUGUCGAGCUGCGAAUAGAAGUCAAGAGCUGCGAAUUGAAAUUAACUGCAUGCAUAUAUAUUAUUAUCUGCUCGCACAAAAAAUUAUUUCUAAUUAUCAUGCUAUGUCUUUGAUUCUGGCAGUUAUGGAUACUCCAAGGAAAGAUUUGUCUGGUCUUUGAUAUCUGCUGUUGGUAUCUUUUGGCAGUUAUUAUUUUUUUCUUUCUAAUAUCUUACCUUUAAUUUCUUAGAUUAUCUAUUGUGUUUGUAAAUUCUAUUGCGGUUUUAUAGAAUUUGUCUGCCUCUUCCUCAGCCCCCUCCAAAUAUUCAGUAUGCAGCUCUUGUGAUUA